rnacentral:rRNA from 1 species
UACAGAGGUCGCAAGCGUUGUUCGGAUUCACUGGGCGUAAAGGGUGCGUAGGCGGUCGGGUAAGUCUGAUGUGAAAUCUCUCAGCUUAACUGUGAAACUGCAUUGGAUACUAUCCGGCUCGAGGAAUGGAGGGGAGACUGGAAUACUUGGUGUAGCAGUGAAAUGCGUAGAUAUCAAGUGGAACACCAGUGGCGAAGGCGAGUCUCUGGACAUUUCCUGACGCUGAGGCACGAAAGCCAGGGGAGCAAACGGG